rnacentral:lncRNA from 1 species
GGCUGAGCCAUCACCCAGCACCAGGUUCCGGUGAGGACCAUAGCAACUCCUGUCCGCACUUUGCAUACUUACAUUAGUUUCCUGAAGAAUUCUCCCAUUGUGCCUUGCCCGACAUCUGAGAGCAGUGAGUGGUCUGCCUGGCAUUGAAAAGGAAAAAGUUUCUGGAAGACCCACCUGGGGCUAGAAGCCUUGAAGUUGCUGUGGGUCUGGGGCUUGUGAAGGGAAGCCGGAAUGGGGGAGGGCUGCGUGGAGGCAGGGGACUGGCCCUGAAGGCCAGAGACGAUCUCCUGGGCUACAGAUCCCAGGCCCCUGGGGUGGGAUGGUGUGUGUGUUGGGGGCACCUGAGUUGCCCACCUCAGGGGAACUUGGGGGUCCUCCAGGGCCCCAACUGCGAAGCCCCUAUUGCUGUUUUUCCUAAGCCCCCAGGCCUAAAAGCUAGAGUCCCAGGGAGAAUAAAACAGCCUGAGCAAAAAGGCUCCAAGGCAGUUCAAAGACAGAGAGAGACUGAGGAUGAAGUUUUCAAGCCACAUCCAAGGGGAGGGCUUUUCAUCUGCCAGCCUUUGAAUCGGGAAUCAAGGCGGGCAAAGUUACUACCAGGUUAAAGUUUAAAUGGCACAGAAAGGGGAGACAGGAAGAUGAAACGACGGCCGUCUGGCCAGGGGAACAAAGCCGGAGCCCAGCCUGGCCACCUGGCCGCAGAGGCGCUGAGUGGUAGCAGUCCCAGCCAGGAGGGGCUGCGACGCUGCCAUUGUUCAGCUGAAGAACGAAAGUAAUUGAAAGGAAAGGUGAGCCAAGGAGAGGCAGCCGGUGCGUAUGACUGCCUGGAUCGUUAGAAAAUAAUUUAAAGGGAACAGGCCUAUCAAGCAGUUUCUCUUAUGGAAAUGCCAUCAUUGAAGAGAAAGGAAGGGGAGGGUGGGGGAACCUUUCAUUCUUUGGAAAAGAGUGAGUUUUUUUCCCCUCACCAAAUAUAGACUUGAAUAUUAUUUGAAAUCCCGUCAUUUGGCAAACUUGCUUUACUCCCUAACUACCUAGGCUGGGGGCCCUCCACAAAACCUUGAGACUUUGGGAACCCUGAUGUCUGGGGGGAAACGGGGAUGACAUGGCUGCAUAGCCACAGGAUUUUCACUAUGAGACCGGGAAGCUCCCUGCAUCCUCAGGAAGCCCAGCCCUUGUUUAACUUCCUCCCUGGUUCUGCCUGCAAUCCUUACCUCAGAAUCGCCCCAGAGCACUGCUGCUUGACCACCUACCAGCUGUGAUUUCUGGGGUCUUGAAGACACAAAUAGGCCCUGUUCUCUAGCCACUUGGGAGGACAAGUGUCAUCGCAAUCCCUAAGGGAGGACAGAAGUCAUUCACGGCACUCUACAGAAGCCAGAAGAUGUGCUUAUAGGCGGUGUUGGGUGUUGUCUUGAGCCCACAGUGGGCCUAAGCUGUACUGGGGAUGUUCGAUGAAAGCAGAGAGAGAAAUAAAAGAUCAUGCAGGAACUUCCAUGAGGAUAGGAAGACAAGAAAGGUCAACACACAGCACGGCCAACAAGCAAGACAGUCUAAGAAUGAACAUGGUGACUUAAAAGAUGACAUGGGGGCUGCAGGGAGGGAGAAACAAACGGGGAGGGAAGCACAAGUCUUGUGAGUGUCUUUUUGGAGAGACAGGACUGAGAUGGGUCUCCAAGAUAAAUUUAGUUUUGGAUCAGGACAGGAAAAGAGAGAAAGGCCCUGAUCUGAGGGUAAGGACGAGAUGCACAAAGAGCAGCACAUUCUGUAACAUGUCAGUAGUGAGUAGAGCUUGCUCUGAAAUGAUCCUGCAUAAUAUUAAAAUCACCCUUGAUAAAAGAUGUGCAGCCAGUCUGGAAACGCCAACAGUGAUUGAGCAUAUAGGUGAUGGGGUUUGCAUGUUUGUUAAUUUAUCUGUUGUUUUUCUUUUUUAUCUUUCCACUAUGAAUAUGUAGUACUUGUGCAUUUAAAAAAUGUUAUAAAUCUGCAAGUUAACAAAUCUAAUGCAUUUCCCUUCAAUCUCAUCAUCCCAAGACUAGACCUUUUUCGGACAGUGGCUUGAAGACAGACAGGCUCUCCUAAGAGAUGGAAGCCCAGGGUGUUCAGCCCCCACUGUCUAAGGCCCCCCAACUCCAGGAGCCCCAUAUGUUCCUACCAGACCAUAGGCUUAACUGGAUGUAGGCCAGGGGUGGGGGAAUGUGCUCUGCUUGGCAUUGUAAGGUGCCAGGCGCACCUGAGCAGCUGGACAGGUGUGACAGAUGCCCUGGAUUGCAUGGAGCUGGCUGUGCCUGUGCACACACACCCGUCUGCACCCCGUCCUCCCCUCCCUACACCUCCCUGUCUUCCCGGCUAGCUCAGGUGUGGUGCAUCUGUGGCCCAUUGGCAGCUCUCUUGCCCGCAGUGCACAGGGAGCUGUCAGGUUAAAAGCUGGCUUGCUCGAUUUGAUCCCACAUGCGAGCUGUUUUAUUUCCCUCUCUCUCCCUUACACGGCUUCGGUGUGCUUUUAUAAAUAUUUCACUAGCCUUGCUAAAGUCUAUUUCAUCUCUCUCUUAAAUUUAUUAAAUAUAAAUGCAGCAACAACUCUACCAUAAGUCUCUCUUUGCUGUCAAAAUCUCAGGCUCCCAUGGAAGUAAAUAUAAUUUGCUUUGUUUACCGUAGGUAACUUGGAGCCCUAUCUGCUAUCUCAACACCCCCUAAGCACCCCCAAAUCUCCCUGUUUUUGUUAGCAGGGGUCUGUCUCAUCCCAAUGUAGUGCACGGGGACACGGGUCACGCUUUGAAGAGGGCGUGACAAAGGGGCUGUUCUCCGACACUCGCAUGGCAGGGAAUUUCUUGGUCCGCUGGUCCCUCAAUGACACAAUCAAUGAGUAAAGGGGGAUACCUUUACUCAUCACCUCAGACCUGAGCACGCCCUGGGCCCCAUUUGGGCAGAGCUUUGCUCUUUGCUUUUCUUUUAAAGUAAAGGGCCCAUCUGCUGCAGCUAGUGACCUGGCCAAAAAAGACACAGACUGCUGUGAAAUGAUUGAGGGCAGUGACUCCCCUCCCACCCCAGGAGCCAGAGCCGACAGAGCCAAGAGCAAGGCAGGAAUUCAGGUCCCCAAAAGCAAGCCAGAAGCACCACCUCCAAGCGCCCUGCCACUUCCUUUGUUCUUUGUUAAUUGCAAAAUAAACACAACCCUGCCCACCGACUGUGGAGAAAGAUUUCUGCCAACUGGGGGACCCGGCAGGUAGUGGGCAGGCAUUUGCCCUCCAUCAACCACAUGUGAUUUCCUGGAGGAGAAGGGGCAGUAGAGAAGGGGCAGAGUGGCAGGGCUGGGAUGGACCUAGCUUAGGGCUUGUA